ACUGGUCAUACAUAGCAGAUCGUGUCCGGAGGAGGUUAGACAGAGAAACGUACUUUUCGGGACUUCUCUGUCUUUUCAUCUCCGGAAAUAUGUUUUGCGCAUGCGUGGAUUAAAUAAACUAUUCUGAUUGGUUGUACGCAACAUGAUAUAGUUUCUGCAAACAUGGCGAUGUAGGUAUUUGUGUUGUGCCAGAUAUUGGAUAGUGCUUGAUGGGAUAAAUGAUCUGAUCUUUUAAAAAGAUCUUAAAAAGAAGAAAACUUCACCAUGGUUGAAACAUGUGUCCUUUGCGGUGUGAAGUAUUGUACGAAAAAUAGUGUUUCUUUUCAUUCUUUCCCAACAAAUGAAAAAUAUAAAAAGUUAUGGAUGGAAGCGUGCAAUUUAAGUACAAUAAAGAAAAAAAGUAAGAUUUGUUCACGUCACUUCAGUUCUUUACAAUUUAAAGCAUGGAAUGAAGGACGUAGAUUAUUGAAGAACGAUGCAGUUCCAUUAUUAUUUUUUGGAGAAAAUAAAACAUAUUUAAAAAGAAUAAGAAAACAGUCUUUGUCUGCUUCAAUUAUUUUACCAGACUCGUUUUUUUCAUCAACGUCAGACGCAGCAAAUAUAGUUCAACCUAUUCAUAAUGAAAAAGAAGAAAUGGAAUUUACAUCACCAAGAGCUGAUGAUUCAACUUUAUCUGUAUGUAAGACAACACAUCCACGUUAGAAGGAAAUGAGAAUGAAAUAACAGACAUAAAUAUUCAACAGGACAAUAUAGAAAUACAAUAUUUCCAGAAAUCGCUUGAUAGAAGGAAGAAGAUUUGGCGUCCUGUAAGAGUUGGAGACUGUACAGAAGAACAUUUUUCAACUCCACGCCGUGCUAAACAUUGUUUUGACGUAGUAGUAAGAAAACUUUCUGACUGUCGAAGACAAUUGGAUACUUCUAAGAAACGUAUAAAAAGGUUAGAGUCAAAAAUGCACACACUCGAAGAUUUACUUAAGAAAUUACAGAAAAAACAAUUAAUAUCAGAAAGUGCAGCUCAGAUGUUACAGACAACAGCAUCUGAUUCGCUUGCACAAAUCAUGAAAAGACAUUUAUCGGGAGUUAAGAAAGCGCCUUUUAACUCUGACUUAAGGCGAUUUGCUUUAACAUUACAUUUUUAUUCUGCUAGAGCUUAUGCUUAUGUUACCAAAUCUUUUAACAAUUUAUUACCGAGUGAGCGUACAAUACGUAAGUGGUAUAAGACGAUUGACGGAAAACCUGGAUUCACGCACGAAUCUUUUAAUUCUAUUAGACAAAAAGUAUAAGAAGGAGUCGUUAUUGUUAAUAUUGUCAUUGACGAGAUGGCGAUUCGGCAACACUUUCAUUGGGAUGGUCACAAGUAUUUUGGUUUUAUUAACUUAGUUCUAGGUUUUAUUAACUUAGGUUCAGAUUUUACUUACGAUCAUGAUUACUAUGUAGUAUGAUGAUUUAGAUUUGGCAAAAAACGCUUUGGUAUUUCUUGCUGUUGCUUUAAACAGUCAUUGGAAAAUACCGUUAGGAUAUUUUUUAAUUGACGGUUUAAAUGCGAUGGAAAGAGCUAAUUUAUUGAAGACUUGCUUAUCUUUAUUACAUGACACAAAAUGUCAUGUUUAUUCAGUUACAUUUGAUGGAGCACCCGUUAAUAAAUGUAUGUGUGCACAAUUAGGUGCAGUUUUUAAUUUUAAUACUUCGUGUAUUUUUCGCCAUCCCAUAACAGGAGACAAUAUUUUUAUAUUUUUGGAUCCUUCCCAUAGUAUUAAAUUAAUAAGAAAUGCUUUUGGUGAGAGAAAAGUAUUCUUUAAUGAAAAAGGAGAAUUGAUAAAAUGGGAAUAUAUAAUCGCUCUUUAUAAUAAAGAAAAAAUAGAAGGUUUAAAAGCUGCCACAAAAUUAACUGGACGUCACAUUAAUUAUCACAAUGAGAAAAUGAAUGUUCAUUUAGCAGUACAAGUGUUAAGCGAUAGUGUGAGCAAAGCACUAAUAUAUUGUGUAGAAAAAAAAUAUGAUGGUUUUCAAGGAGCUUUAGCUACUGCAGAAUUUUGUUCUCUAAUGAAUAGAGCGUUUGACAUAUUAAACUGUCGAAAUAAAUUUUCUAAAAGACCCUUUAAUCAGCCCGUUAGUAACAAUACCUUAAUUAAUAGAAUAUUCAGACUUUAUAUCAACAUUUAAAACGUACAUUUCUAAUUUAAAAGAUAAUAUUGGUAGACACAUUAUACAUUCAACACGAAGUACAGGUUUUAUUGGAAUAGUACAUUGUUUAGAAAAUGCACUUGAAUUAUAUCGAACUUUGCACUCAAAAAAAUAUAUAGAAUAUUACUUAGCUAUAAAUUAUUGCAAGAUCACUUGGAGUCGUUCUUCAGUGCAAUCCGAAGUCGUGGAGGUUCUAACAGCAAUCCAACAUGUAUUCAAUUUGAAAGUGCUUACAAAAAAUUAUUAGUACAUCAUCAGGUAUCAGAAUCAGAAUAUGCUAAUUGUACAAUAUUAGAUACAUCAAUAUUACCAGUUUGUUUUGAGACAUAAAAAUGCAAGUGAUAUUAGUAAUAUCGAUAAAAACAGUGAGCAAGUGAUUACCAAUAAAAAUGUUUUAUUUGAUCAUGAUUAUAUUUUUGGCAUUCCUUCUUUAAGUAUAUUUGUUACUGAUAUUACUGAACACAUAGCUGGAUUUGUUGUUAAACAAUUAAAAAAAAAAUUUCGUGCACAGUAUGUAAAAAAUAUUUGGAAACAAACGAUACAACCAACUUAGUAUUAUUAAAAAAAGAUAGAGGUAUGUUACUUAAACCAUCAAAAGACAUUUUUUAUGUUUGUACAUGGGUAGAAAGAAUUAUUAGACAAUAUCAAAGUGAUAUUUUUAAAAUAAAUGUAAAACCUGUAAUUAUAAACCGUGUUGUACAAUAUGUAUUACCUUGUGUCUUUUUAGACAUGAGUGAUCAUAUUCUAUCUCAGGAACCAUUCAAUAAUCAUAAAAAGCAAUUAAUUGUAAGUAUUAUAGAAUGUUAUGUAAACAUACGAUGUCAUCAUCUAGGAAAAAUGUAUGACAAAGAAAAAAAGGAA